AACGAACGCUGGCGGCAUGCCUAACACAUGCAAGUCGAACGAGACCUCCGGGUCUAUUUGCGCACGGGUGCGUACCGCGUGGGAACCUGCCCUUAGGUUCGGAAUAACUCCCCGAAAGGGGUGCUAAUACCGGAUAAUGUCUUCGGACCAAAGAGCUAUCGCGAUUGGAUGGGCGCGCGUUGGAUUAGCGGGUUGGUAGGGUAAUAGCCUACCAAGGAGACGAUGCUGAGCUGGUCUGUGAGGAUGAUCAGCCACGCUGGGAAUGAGACACGGCCCAGACUCCGACGCAAGGGAGGAGAGGAGAAUAUUGGAGGAUGGGCGAAAGUGUGAUACAGCAAUGCCGGGGGAGUGAUGAAGGCGUUAGGGUUGUAAAGCUGUUUUACCCGGGAUGAUAAUGACAGUACCGGGAGAAGAAGCACCGGCUAACUCCGUG
rnacentral:rRNA from 1 species